CCUACGGGUGGCAGCAGUGAGGAAUAUUGGUCAAUGGACGAGAGUCUGAACCAGCCAAGUAGCGUGAAGGAUGACUGCCCUAUGGGUUGUAAACUUCUUUUAUAAAGGAAUAAAACGAGGCACGUGUGCCUUUUUGCAUGUACUUUAUGAAUAAGGAUCGGCUAACUCCGUGCCAGCAGCCGCGGUAAUACGGAGGAUCCGAGCGUUAUCCGGAUUUAUUGGGUUUAAAGGGAGCGUAGAUGGGUUGUUAAGUCAGUUGUGAAAGUUUGCGGCUCAACCGUAAAAUUGCAAUUGAUACUGGCAGUCGUGAGUAAAGUUGAGGGAGGCGGAAUUAGGGGGGGAGAGGUGAAAUGAUUAGAUAUCACGAAGAAACCGGAGUGCGAAGGCAGCUUAAUAAACUGUGAAUGAAAUGGAUGCUCGAAAGUGUGGGUAUCAAACAGGAUGAGAUAAACCGGUAGUC
rnacentral:rRNA from 1 species